UUGUGCAACCUCUAAAUAAGAAUUAAUUUGCAUAAAAUUUGGACCGAAGUAAUUUGGCCAGAUAUGGAACCAAAUGCAGGGUUCUAAUCCAGAGAAUCUUAAAAAAAAAUUUUGGACCACCCUAUUUUACAUAUAAAACACUGUGAUACUGUGAGACUUUGAUAUGUAGGCAUCAUGGAUAUCUCAUACCAUUGGAAGUAAACAUGUAAUGCUAAUGCUAAUAUGAUCAGGCUGAUUAACUCAGUAUGCUGCCAGUGAAGUUUAGGGUGAAUGACUGAAAACAAGUUGGUUUUCUUUUAAAAGUACCAAAACUUUAUGGUUCGAAACAACCAAGAACAGCUUUGUAGAGUGUCCCAGCAGAUGAUCCAACUGAAAACUAACCUGUGUUAAAGUCCAUAAAAUGUAUUUGACUUCCCCCACCAACCCAUGGAACCCACCCCCCUUCCCUUUGUGGGUUUAUAAAUACAACCCUGAACUCAUUGAGUCGGAGCGUUUCAGCAAUAAAACGCUGAAAAACACAUGGGUAGUGCCUUGGAGUUUUUGUUUGUAAUGAACUGGAGGUUCAUUACAACUAAGGAUCGUAAUUAUUAAUAAACAGUGCCUCCUAAUUAACGCCACCAAGGCUUUCAGGUGCAAAAAAACUGUAGAUUUAAAACAGUUUCCAUUAUCAGGUCUUAAACAAUAUUGGUGUCUUCAGCCUCAGAAUCCAUGUAUUUGCUCACAUUUCCAGACCGUUGUGCUUGGUUCUGUUCUCUUGAACUGACUUUGGACCAUCGUGACCGCACUAAACGACGUUAGUUUUAUACCGAUACUGUUUAGAUACCGUUUCUACUGCCCAGUUCUUCUGUAAAUACCUGUAGAUAUCCACCAGAACCUGAUUGUUUUCUAACAGUCACCGCUCUUUUGUACAGAAUUGAUUUUUUUUUUUAUGUUGCUGUAACACUUUGUACUGUUGGUUUUUUUUAUGUAAAUAAAGGAAGUGGAAGUA